AAGUAAAGGCUGACCAAAUCUUUAAAAGGAGAAGAUCUAUUGAAACUUAUAUGAAUUCUUAUGGAGCUGGGAGUGGAAGAUCAGGCUUGGGGAGUGCAUCUGAACAAAAAAGGGACUAUGUUGGGAUGGAAAGGACCUAUGGCUUUCCUAGUACUAACAAUAAGCCCAACAGCAAGAGAGAGUUGCUACCUGUUGAGCUCCGAAACAUGUUGAUGGAGAAGGCAAGGUUAGAUAUUUGUAAAAAGCUUAAAGAGUGGAGCUCAAAUGAAGUAAAACUGAAACAAGGCAAAAAGCAUAUAAGCAUGGUAGGGAAUGAUACAAAUAAUCAGAAGCAUGAUAACUAUGCUAUUAUGGAUAAUGGAAACCAAAGCAAGAAGUUUUUCCGUGUUUUUUCUUCUGAUGAUUCCAUUAAAAAUGCCCCGGCACCAAUGGCAAUUAAUGUACC
rnacentral:misc_RNA from 1 species